ACGAACGCUGGCGGCGUGCUUAACACAUGCAAGUCGAACGGAAAGGCCCUGCUUUUGUGGGGUGCUCGAGUGGCGAACGGGUGAGUAACACGUGAGUAACCUGCCCUUGACUUUGGGAUAACUUCAGGAAACUGGGGCUAAUACCGGAUAGGAGCUCCUGCUGCAUGGUGGGGGUUGGAAAGUUUCGGCGGUUGGGGAUGGACUCGCGGCUUAUCAGCUUGUUGGUGGGGUAGUGGCUUACCAAGGCUUUGACGGGUAGCCGGCCUGAGAGGGUGACCGGCCACAUUGGGACUGAGAUACGGCGCAGACUCCCACGGGAGGCAGCAGUGGGGAAUAUUGCACAAUGGGCGGAAGCCUGAUGCAGCAACGCCGCGUGCGGGAUGACGGCCUUCGGGUUGUAAACCGCUUUCGCCUGUGACGAAGCGUGAGUGACGGUAAUGGGUAAAGAAGCACCGGCUAACUACGUG
rnacentral:rRNA from 1 species